rnacentral:tRNA from 1 species
GCUUGUAUAGUUUAAUCAAAUCGUAAGGCUGUUAACUUUAAGAUGCUCCGUAUAGUGGGCUAUGAGCG